UGAAACUGCCUACGCAAGUAGUGAGGAAGGUGGGGAUGACGUCAAAUCAGCACGGCCCUUACGUCCAGGGCUACACACGUGCUACAAUGGCCGAUACAGAGGGCAGCUACCUGGUGACAGGAUGCAAAUCUACCAAAGUCGGUCUCAGUUCGGAUCGGAGUCUGCAACCCGACUCCGUGAAGUUGGAUUCGCUAGUAAUCGCGCAUCAGCCACGGCGCGGUGAAUACGUUCCCGGGCCUU
rnacentral:rRNA from 1 species